rnacentral:rRNA from 1 species
UACGUAGGGCGCAAGCGUUGUCCGGAAUUAUUGGGCGUAAAGAGCUCGUAGGCGGUUUGUCGCGUCUGCUGUGAAAACCUAAGGCUCAACCUUGGGCUUGCAGUGGGUACGGGCAGACUAGAGUGCGGUAGGGGUGACUGGAAUUCCUGGGUGUAGCGGUGGAAUGCGCAGAUAUCAGGAGGAACACCGAUGGCGAAGGCAGAUCACUGGGCCGCAACUGACGCUGAGGAGCGGAAAGCAUGGGGAGCGAACAGG